CGUGAAACGUGCCGCCUGGGAAGUACGGUCGCAAGGCUGAAACUUAAAGGAAUUGGCGGGGGAGCACCACAACGGGUGGAGCNUGCGGUUUAAUUGGACUCAACGCCGGGCAGCUCACCGGAUAGGACAGCGGAAUGAUAGCCGGGCUGAAGACCUUGCUUGACCAGCUGAGAGGAGGUGCAUGGCCGUCGUCAGUUCGUACUGUGAAGCAUCCUGUUUAGUCAGGCAACGAGCGAGACCCACGCCAACAGUUGCUAGCAUGUUCUCCGGAAUGAUGAGGACACUGUUGGGACCGCCUCUGCUAAAGAGGAGGAAGGAAUGGGCAACGGUAGGUCAGCAUGCCCCGAAUUAUCCGGGCUACACGCGGGCUACAAUGGUCAGGACAAUGGGAAACGGCACUGAAAAGUGUAGUCAAUCUCCUAAACCUGUCCCAAGUUCGGAUUGUGGGCUGCAACUCGCCCACAUGAAGCUGGAAUCCGUAGUAAUCGCGUUUCAAAAUAGCGCGGUGAAUAAGUCCCUGCUCCUUGCACACACCGCCCGUCAAACCAUCUUAGUGAGGUUUGGAUGAGGCUGUGGUUAACUGCCACAGUCGAAUCUAGGUUUCGCAAGGAGGGUUAAGUCGUAACAAGGUAGCCGUA
rnacentral:rRNA from 1 species